AUUGAACGCUGGCGGCAGGCCUAACACAUGCAAGUCGAACGAGUGGCGGACGGGUGAGUAAUGUCUGGGAAACUGCCCGAUGGAGGGGGAUAACCACUGGAAACGGUAGCUAAUACCGCAUACCAUCGGAUGUGCCCAGAUGGGAUUAGCUAGUAGGUGGGGUAACGGCUAACCUAGGCGACAAUCCCUAGCGGGUCUGAGAGGAUGACCAGCCACGCUGGAACAAAGACACGGUCCAGAGUCCUACGGGAGGCAUGAGGGGGGAAUAUUGCACAAUGGGCGCAAGCCAGAUGCAGCCAUGCCGCGUGUAUGAAGAAGGCCUUCGAGUUGUAAAGUACUUUCAGCUGGGAGGCGUUACCCGCAGAAGAAGCGCCGGCUAACUCCGUGCCAGCAGCCGCGAUAAUUC
rnacentral:rRNA from 1 species